UACGAGGGGUGCAAGCGUUACUCGGAAUUACUGGGCGUAAAGCGUGCGUAGGUGGUUCGUUAAGUCUGUCGUGAAAGCCCCGGGCUCAACCUGGGAAUGGCGAUGGAUACUGGCGAGCUAGAGUGCGGUAGAGGAGAGUGGAAUUCCCGGUGUAGCAGUGAAAUGCGUAGAGAUCGGGAGGAACAUCAGUUGCGAAGGCGGCUCUCUGGACCAGCACUGACACUGAGGCACGAAAGCGUGGGGAGCAAACAGG
rnacentral:rRNA from 1 species